rnacentral:rRNA from 1 species
UGGGGAAUAUUGGACAAUGGGCGAAAGCCUGAUCCAGCCAUGCCGCGUGUGUGAAGAAGGUCUUCGGAUUGUAAAGCACUUUAAGUUGGGAGGAAGGGCAGUAAGCGAAUACCUUGCUGUUUUGACGUUACCGACAGAAUAAGCACCGGCUAACUCUGUGCCAGCAGCCGCGGUAAUACAGAGGGUGCGAGCGUUAAUCGGAUUUACUGGGCGUAAAGCGUGCGUAGGCGGCUAAUUGAGUCGGAUGUGAAAUCCCCGAGCUUAACUUGGGAAUUGCAUUCGAUACUGGUUAGCUAGAGUGUGGGAGAGGAUGGUAGAAUUCCAGGUGUAGCGGUGAAAUGCGUAGAGAUCUGGAGGAAUACCGAUGGCGAAGGCAGCCAUCUGGCCUAACACUGACGCUGAGGUGCGAAAGCAUGGGGAGCAAACAGG